GAUGAACGCUAGCGGCAGGCCUAAUACAUGCCAGUCGAGGGGUAGAGGAAGCUUGCUUUCUUGAGACAGGCGCACGGGUGCGUAACGCGUAUGCAACCUACCUUUAUCAGGGGGAUAGCCCGGAGAAAUCCGGAUUAACCCCGCAUAAAAUCACAGAACAGCAUUGUUUCAUGAACAAAUAUUUAUAGGAUAAAGAUGGGCAUGCGUGCCAUUAGCUAGUUGGCGGGGUAACGGCCCACCAAGGCGACGAUGGAUAGGGGCUCUGAGAGGAGAAUCCCCCACACUGGUACUGAGAAACGGACCAGACUCCUACGGGAGGCAGCAGUAAGGAAUAUUGGUCAAUGGGGGCAACCCUGAACCAGCCAUGCCGCGUGCAGGAAGACUGCCCUAUGGGUUGUAAACUGCUUUUGUACGGGAAUAACCACUGGUAUGUAUACCAGCCUGAAUGUAUCGUAAGAAUAAGGAUCGGCUAACUCCGUGCCAGCCGCCGCCGUAAUAC
rnacentral:rRNA from 1 species